ACUGGAGACGACUGUUGGUCCUAAAGGUGGACGCUCUAGCUGAGGCAGUUUGUCUAUUUCUGUUCCUGAUGGUGCUGUGAGUGAACCAGUUAGCAUAAAAAUUCAUAUGUAUGUUGACGAAAGGCUAAUGCCACCAUCUACUAAAGCUAAUGAUGGAUACAUUCUAAGUCCUCUCUAUGUCUUUGAACCUCAUGGAUUAACAUUUUCCAAACACAUGCAAGUGCAUUGUCCUCUUCCAGUUGAUUCUAAAGGAUGGCACUUGUCACUGAUGAGAGCAAUGUGUGAUACUUCCACUUUAUCUCAAUUGUGACAGCCACAAGCCAUAGUAACAUAUAAUUCUGAUUUGGACGAAGUGAAUGUGGAGGACGCAGACUGUAGGUAUGACCUUACCAGUGGGACUUUAAGUGUAAAACACUUCUGUUGGCACUGGUGGGUUGGAAAGCCUGUUGACAUGUUUCUGGCUACAAAAACUAUGAUGUUUUCUGUGUUUGGUUACGGGCAAAGACCUUCAUCAAAUAUUUGGAAUCUCACUAUCCAUUGCCAUGAUAAUUGUCACGAGGUUAUUGAGAAAAUGAAACAGUCUAUCUCCAAGACGUUCUUUCUUGUGUCUAAAUAAAGAAAUGAAAAUGAAGUUUGAAGACAACGUUGAAUUUAAUAUUACACGUGGUGAUUGGAAAGCUACUUCACAGCUACCGGUGUAUUACUCUAAGCUUGCAUUUAGUGUAUUGGCUAAUGCAUGCAUGUAUACACCUGUCUUCAGGUAGUAGCUGCUGCUCAAUUUGGCACAAAUGGAUAUGCUUGGACAAGACAUUUAACAUAACUAUGGAGUUUGAGCAUGGUGAUGAGCAUUGUACAAACGAGUGUAUUGUGGAUAUUAGCCAGGGUGAUCAAUCGGUUGCACUGGUAAUGUCUCCUUGUCUUGUAUGGGACAGUCCAGAAAAGAGAGAGGAGAAUAUAUCAAGAAAUACACCUGAAAACGCAGACAACCAGCAAAUGUGCAGUUGAUGAUGUAGCGAAAAGAGUUGUGUUGAAUUUGUCAGCUGAGUUUUUCAUAAACAAGACAGAAGGGAUCGAAGAGAUGAUUGCUACAGACAAGCUGUAAUAGCAUAUAUUAUCUGCAUAUUGCUCGUGUGGACUAAUGAAUUUGGUGAAAAAGCCAUGCAACCAGGCAGCAGUGAUCAGGGCAAUGUGUAGCAUUGGGUGCAGGUCUCAGGCUGUAGAUGUUUUCAGUCACAGUUUGGUGGCUCAUAUUUGCCCAUUGAAAUGACUUUGUUUGUCUUCACUUGUAGCCAGACUUUACUAUUAGCUG